UCCGGGGGGAGCAAGCGUUGUUCGGAUUUACUGGGCGUAAAGGGCGCGUAGGCGGCCUCUGCAAGUCGACUGUGAAAUCUCCGGGCUUAACCCGGAAAGGUCAGCCGAUACUGCAGGGCUAGAGUGCAGAAGGGGCAACUGGAAUUCUCGGUGUAGCGGUGAAAUGCGUAGAUAUCGAGAGGAACACCUGCGGCGAAGGCGGGUUGCUGGGCUGACACUGACGCUGAGGCGCGAAAGCUAGGGGAGCGAACGGG
rnacentral:rRNA from 1 species